rnacentral:rRNA from 1 species
AGCGUACACGGUGGAUGCCCUGGCAGUCAGAGGCGAUGAAGGACGUGCUAAUCUGCGAUAAGCGUCGGUAAGGUGAUAUGAACCGUUAUAACCGGCGAUUUCCGAAUGGGGAAACCCAGUGUGUUUCGACACACUAUCAUUAACUGAAUCCAUAGGUUAAUGAGGCGAACCGGGGGAACUGAAACAUCUAAGUACCCCGAGGAAAAGAAAUCAACCGAGAUUCCCCCAGUAGCGGCGAGCGAACGGGGAGCAGCCCAGAGCCUGAAUCAGUAUGUGUGUUAGUGGAAGCGUCUGGAAAGGCGCGCGAUACAGGGUGACAGCCCCGUACACAAAAAUGCACAUAUUGUGAGCUCGAUGAGUAGGGCGGGACACGUGGUAUCCUGUCUGAAUAUGGGGGGACCAUCCUCCAAGGCUAAAUACUCCUGACUGACCGAUAGUGAACCAGUACCGUGAGGGAAAGGCGAAAAGAACCCCGGCGAGGGGAGUGAAAAAGAACCUGAAACCGUGUACGUACAAGCAGUGGGAGCACGCUUAGGCGUGUGACUGCGUACCUUUUGUAUAAUGGGUCAGCGACUUAUAUUCUGUAGCAAGGUUAACCGAAUAGGGGAGCCGAAGGGAAACCGAGUCUUAACUGGGCGUUAAGUUGCAGGGUAUAGACCCGAAACCCGGUGAUCUAGCCAUGGGCAGGUUGAAGGUUGGGUAACACUAACUGGAGGACCGAACCGACUAAUGUUGAAAAAUUAGCGGAUGACUUGUGGCUGGGGGUGAAAGGCCAAUCAAACCGGGAGAUAGCUGGUUCUCCCCGAAAGCUAUUUAGGUAGCGCCUCGUGAAUUCAUCUCCGGGGGUAGAGCACUGUUUCGGCAAGGGGGUCAUCCCGACUUACCAACCCGAUGCAAACUGCGAAUACCGGAGAAUGUUAUCACGGGAGACACACGGCGGGUGCUAACGUCCGUCGUGAAGAGGGAAACAACCCAGACCGCCAGCUAAGGUCCCAAAGUCAUGGUUAAGUGGGAAACGAUGUGGGAAGGCCCAGACAGCCAGGAUGUUGGCUUAGAAGCAGCCAUCAUUUAAAGAAAGCGUAAUAGCUCACUGGUCGAGUCGGCCUGCGCGGAAGAUGUAACGGGGCUAAACCAUGCACCGAAGCUGCGGCAGCGACGCUUAUGCGUUGUUGGGUAGGGGAGCGUUCUGUAAGCCUGUGAAGGUGUACUGUGAGGUAUGCUGGAGGUAUCAGAAGUGCGAAUGCUGACAUAAGUAACGAUAAAGCGGGUGAAAAGCCCGCUCGCCGGAAGACCAAGGGUUCCUGUCCAACGUUAAUCGGGGCAGGGUGAGUCGACCCCUAAGGCGAGGCCGAAAGGCGUAGUCGAUGGGAAACAGGUUAAUAUUCCUGUACUUGGUGUUACUGCGAAGGGGGGACGGAGAAGGCUAUGUUGGCCGGGCGACGGUUGUCCCGGUUUAAGCGUGUAGGCUGGUUUUCCAGGCAAAUCCGGAAAAUCAAGGCUGAGGCGUGAUGACGAGGCACUACGGUGCUGAAGCAACAAAUGCCCUGCUUCCAGGAAAAGCCUCUAAGCAUCAGGUAACAUCAAAUCGUACCCCAAACCGACACAGGUGGUCAGGUAGAGAAUACCAAGGCGCUUGAGAGAACUCGGGUGAAGGAACUAGGCAAAAUGGUGCCGUAACUUCGGGAGAAGGCACGCUGAUAUGUAGGUGAAGCGACUUGCUCGUGGAGCUGAAAUCAGUCGAAGAUACCAGCUGGCUGCAACUGUUUAUUAAAAACACAGCACUGUGCAAACACGAAAGUGGACGUAUACGGUGUGACGCCUGCCCGGUGCCGGAAGGUUAAUUGAUGGGGUUAGCGCAAGCGAAGCUCUUGAUCGAAGCCCCGGUAAACGGCGGCCGUAACUAUAACGGUCCUAAGGUAGCGAAAUUCCUUGUCGGGUAAGUUCCGACCUGCACGAAUGGCGUAAUGAUGGCCAGGCUGUCUCCACCCGAGACUCAGUGAAAUUGAACUCGCUGUGAAGAUGCAGUGUACCCGCGGCAAGACGGAAAGACCCCGUGAACCUUUACUAUAGCUUGACACUGAACAUUGAGCCUUGAUGUGUAGGAUAGGUGGGAGGCUUUGAAGUGUAGACGCCAGUCUGCAUGGAGCCGACCUUGAAAUACCACCCUUUAAUGUUUGAUGUUCUAACGUUGACCCGUAAUCCGGGUUGCGGACAGUGUCUGGUGGGUAGUUUGACUGGGGCGGUCUCCUCCUAAAGAGUAACGGAGGAGCACGAAGGUUGGCUAAUCCUGGUCGGACAUCAGGAGGUUAGUGCAAUGGCAUAAGCCAGCUUGACUGCGAGCGUGACGGCGCGAGCAGGUGCGAAAGCAGGUCAUAGUGAUCCGGUGGUUCUGAAUGGAAGGGCCAUCGCUCAACGGAUAAAAGGUACUCCGGGGAUAACAGGCUGAUACCGCCCAAGAGUUCAUAUCGACGGCGGUGUUUGGCACCUCGAUGUCGGCUCAUCACAUCCUGGGGCUGAAGUAGGUCCCAAGGGUAUGGCUGUUCGCCAUUUAAAGUGGUACGCGAGCUGGGUUUAGAACGUCGUGAGACAGUUCGGUCCCUAUCUGCCGUGGGCGCUGGAGAACUGAGGGGGGCUGCUCCUAGUACGAGAGGACCGGAGUGGACGCAUCACUGGUGUUCGGGUUGUCAUGCCAAUGGCACUGCCCGGUAGCUAAAUGCGGAAGAGAUAAGUGCUGAAAGCAUCUAAGCACGAAACUUGCCCCGAGAUGAGUUCUCCCUGACUCCUUGA